AACGAACGCUGGCGGCAUGCCUAACACAUGCAAGUCGAACGAGACCUUCGGGUCUAGUGGCGCACGGGUUCGUAACGCGUGGGAACCUGCCCUUAGGUUCGGAAUAACUCCCCGAAAGGGGUGCUGAUACCGGAUAAUGUCUUCGGACCAAAGAUUUAUCGCCUUUGGAUGGGCCCGCGUUGGAUUAGCUAGUUGGUAGGGUGAAAGCCUACCAAGGCGACGAUCCAUAGCUGGUCUGAGAGGAUGAUCAGCCACACUGGGACUGAGACACGGCCCAGACUCCUACGAGAGGCAGCGAUUGGGAAUAUUGGACAAUGGGCGAAAGCCUGAUCCAGCAAUGCCGCGUGAGUGAUGAAGGCCUUAGGAUUGUAAAGCUCUUUUACCCGAGAUGAGAAUGACAGUACCGGGUGAAUAAGCUCCGGCUAACUCCGUG
rnacentral:rRNA from 1 species